UACGGGGGGGGCAAGCGUUGUUCGGAAUUACUGGGCGUAAAGGGUUUGUAGGCGGCCAUGUAAGUCAGGUGUGAAAUCCCUCGGCUCAACCGAGGAACGGCGCUUGAUACUGCAUGGCUUGAGGGAGACAGGGGUAAGCGGAACUGAUGGUGGAGCGGUGAAAUGCGCUGAUAUCAUCAGGAACACCGGUGGCGAAAGCGGCUUACUGGGUCUCUUCUGACGCUGAGGAACGAAAGCUAGGGUAGCGAACGGG
rnacentral:rRNA from 1 species